rnacentral:lncRNA from 1 species
AGUGUGUGCAUAAAUCUCAGCUCCUUGACUGACUGCAUCUGCACCUAAGGGAAGCUUCUCUGUCGCAAGUGAGGACUUGUGGCCACCCUGACCUGGGUGACACUUCAUCUUCCCUUUUGCCUCUGUCCCUCCAGCUGUGGCUCUGUGGAGUAAGACACGUGGUGGUGGCUGUUGGUGGAGCCUCAGAUGCCAGCGGUCACAAAAGACCCAGCCCCUCGCUGUGCACAGAGCACUUUCCCUGUGUUUCCAGCCUGGCAGCAUCCAGGCAGCAAGCAGAGGGCUGUGCAGAGGCUAGCAUGCUCCAGCCCUCAAGCUGUACUCUCCUCCCGCUCGCCUGCAGCUCAGCUGAGUGGAGGGCUCUCUGGUCCCCUGCAACUUCCCUGAGGAUGGUCUCGAAGGCAGGGAGCAGCCAGCCAACAGGCGCUGCGGGUGCACAGCCUCUCCCAGCACCCUGCCCACUCACUCUUGAGAAGCCCUGUGUCGUCAGUGUGGUGACGCGCCCUAGGAAGUUGCCCAUGUAUGGCUCCCCAAGUGAGUGAUAUCAUCACAAUCCGUGGCUCUGUCUAAAUGGGAUCAUUGGUGAAAUGAGAUUAGAGACGUCCAUCUGAGGAGGCAGCAGACCGAGCACCUGCUCUCUUGAAUCGAUGUCCCGGGGGACGGCACCGCGCACUAAUCAAGGCGUCCGUCUCCAUGGCUAAUUCCGUUAGCAGCCACGCGCCUGCCUCUUCCGCUCCGUGCCAGGCAGCCCCCACAUCCACAUGCAGUCCACUCCAGAUCCGUGUUUUCUAUUAUGCUUGAAUAUAUGGGACAUGCAUCUCGGUCCUCUGCCCGCCACCCUGCUGCAGUGUGCUUGUUUUGCAGAGCUGUGUGGUAGCCUGGCUGGACUCAGGACUGACCGGAGCAGGGACACACGCUGGGUCCUCCUGGCCUCCCUCCAGCCCAAGCACGCAGCCCCUGUCUGCCUGCUGAGAAUCCUCUGCUCCUUGCAUUUGGAUGCUGCCAGCAGUGCAGCUGCCACCGAGCCUCGGGAUCACUUUAGUGGGAACUUUCCUUCCCGCUCCCCAAAGGACAUGUGUAGAAAGAAGGUCGGGCCAGCCCCAUGGAAAUGAAGCUGAUCAAAAUCAAAGGGAGCUUGCAUGGACUGACCCUGUUCAAAGAGUCGCAGUGCACCCUCUGCGGGGGAGCCAGAAGGUGAGUACCCUGGUCCCUCACCUGCACAGGUGGGUGGACACACUUGUGCUCACGGUGGAAUUGAUGGUGAGGGCCUGCUGGGAAUGCUAGAGAGUGUUGAGGCUGCAGUGUCUGUGGGAAAAGUGAAUAACCCACAGCAGCAUUGAGUGUUAGGUGUGAGGAGUUCAUCUCUAAGGAAAAAUCAACAUUAGAGCCAAAUUGCAGGUUUUCUCUUCUUGUUGUUUGGAAUUUACAGAUUUUGGCCAGUAUUCUCUGACUGCUUUAGCGAGUUUCUGUGACUGCAUGUUCUGUGACAUGGAGAGAUGAUUCCUGGUCACUGGCAGUGACUGAGCAUGGAGGGGGUGCGGUGCCUCGCUGGCCUCAGUCGGGGUGAAUGACCAGCCACGUGUGUCGGGUUGUUUCAUCCAGAGCUGCAGCUGCCUAAGAUGCAUUUAAAUGUGGAGCUCCCAAGCUGGUCGCUUGUUAAUGCUGUUCCAAAAUGGUCAAAGCAAAUUUAUGCAGCCUUUUCCUUGGUGUGCUGAGGAAGAAUAAGGAAAGGAUGGCAAAUACCUGGCUCCUCUUAGUGGGUAACCCAGGGCCCACUGGGUUUGGACUGUAGUCUGCUUUCAGCAGAAGGAGGCAGAUUGGCUAGAAAGCCAGUGAACCUCAAGCUGGGGAGACAAGCGAGCCCUGGGGUCAGAGUCAACCAAUCCCAGUGUUGGGGGCCUGGGGUCCAUGCCCCAGGAGCUGGGCUGUGGACUGCGUGUGGCUCGGGCUGAAAACAUAAGUACAGCUCCACUUGGAGACUCUGCCAACACUCAGUCUCCUCAGCUUAGGGGUAGCUGCAUUUGAUGAGGUUUUGGGGUUCUUCCUGUGUGGUUGAAUCAAUGAAGGGCAGAGACACGGCCACAAUCCAUCCCUGGCCUUGCCUUCUAAAGCAUCGGGCUCUGCGCCUGGUGUUCCCAAGGACACAGAGAGAUGUGUCUCCCAGCCAGGGCCUGGUGGCUGUCUCUGGACACAUGGGACGCCCUCCUCUGGGGUCCGUGAUGGCCUGCACCUGUCUAGUGUGCUCUGGACACUUGGAGAGUUUGUUAUUUCCUGUCGCUGUGGCUUUCCGUUGUUGUCUGCUCUGGCUUUGUGCGUGGCUGUGCACUCUUGUUGGAAGCUCCUAGGGAGCUGUGUGUGGGGUCUCCAGAGCAGGGGGUGAGCACAAGCCCAUGCUUUCAUCUGCGUGUUUCUAAUGGCCCAGCUCUGUCCUCUGAACCGGCUGUGUUGUGUGUCUGCCACCGCUGCUGCGUGCUCCCUGCCACUGUCCCCCAGCAUGGGGCUGGCUGGGUGAGGCCUCCGUGGAGGGGAUAGACCCCACCGUAUUCCUGGAGUGUGGACGCUGCUGUGUCCGUGACCGUGACCGUGACCAUCCCGGGUGGCAGACAG